CAGAGGGUGCAAGCGUUGUUCGGAAUUAUUGGGCGUAAAGCGCGUGUAGGCGGCUUUGCAAGUCGGGUGUGAAAGCCCUGGGCUCAACCCAGGAAGUGCGCCCGAAACUGCAUUGCUUGAGUACCGGAGAGGGUCGCGGAAUUCCCCAAGUAGAGGUGAAAUUCGUAGAUAUGGGGAGGAACACCGGUGGCGAAGGCGGCGACCUGAACGGAUACUGACGCUGAGACGCGAAAGCGUGGGGAGCAAACAGGAUUAGAUACCCUGGUAGUCCACGCCGUAAACGAUGAGAACUAGGUGUCGCUGGUGUUGACCCCAGCGGUGCCGUAGCUAACGCAUUAAGUUCUCCGCCUGGGAAGUACGGCCGCAAGGCUA
rnacentral:rRNA from 1 species